ACUUUUUAUCAAUGUUAACAGUUGUAUAUUUUACCUGUUAUCAACACAUUACACAUACAAUAUCAGCAUUAUGCUUGUCAUUAUAUUUACAGUUUAUCUAUUAAUGUACUAAAAAAUUCUAUUUACUUACGGUACGGAACAUCUAAAAAUAUCGUAUGUUUUAAAAAUAAUACAGAUCUAAAAAAAAUAUCUUAGUGACGUAGGUAAUCAGUGUUUUGUUGAAAUAAUCCAUGAAGAAGAAAGAGAGUAAUUCGUAAUCACAAAGUACCCUUUCAGAUUUUAAACAUGGCAACAAGUCUUUAUCGGCGCUCGGCUGAUGGCAACACCAAAACUACGUGUUACAACACAUUAGGAUACUGCACUGUGCAUCUCGGUUGAGCAAUUAGGUCUUAACUCAAUACUACAAAUAAGGUUUAUUAUUCUUCGAACCUAAAGUGGUUGCAUAUUGUUAAGUGAUGAGAUAAAGCAAUAGUUAUAAUUGUUAAAAAAAAUAUGAUAAGGUGUGCACUUAUAGAAGAAAUAUAAAUAAAUAACAAAAAUAUAAAUAUAAUUAUAAUUAUAUAUAUAUAUAUGUACACACACAUAUAUAUAUAUAUAUAUAUAUAUAUACACAUAUAUACAUAUAUUUAAAGUA